rnacentral:rRNA from 1 species
AUGUCGAGGUCACGGAACAGCUGCGCGACGAAGAAGAACAUAUUGGCAACUGGCAAGAUUCCGCAUGUUCCACCUCGACUCGCCUUCCCAUCCUUCAGUCCUCAUCCUCUCAUAUUCCUCUCACCUUCCACCGGCACAGAGCAGCGGGGCAGGAAGGCGCGUGGGGAGGGCUGCCUGGAGGCUAAGGAGAAAGGGGGCAAUCGAGGAAGAGAGGAGUGCGCCACCGCCCAGAACGAGCGAGGGGAGGGAAGGGGCCGCGCGCCGAUUCGAGUUUCUUUAGCGGCAGGGCUGCGUCGGGGUCAUUUGGAAAGAGGUCUCGUGGAGGGGAUGAGGUGA